rnacentral:rRNA from 1 species
UACGUAGGGGGGCAAGCGUUGUCCGGAUUCAUUGGGCGUAAAGAGCGUGUAGGCGGCCAGGUAGGUCGGUUGUGAAAACUGGAGGCUCAACCUUCAGAGGUCGACCGAAACCAUCUGGCUAGAGUCCGGGAGAGGAGAGUGGAAUUCCUGGUGUAGCGGUGAAAUGCGCAGAUAUCAGGAAGAACACCCGUGGCGAAAGCGGCUCUCUGGAACGGUACUGACGCUGAGACGCGAAAGCGUGGGGGAGCGAACAGG